rnacentral:rRNA from 1 species
AACGAACGCUGGCGGCAGGCUUAACACAUGCAAGUCGAGCGCCCCGCAAGGGGAGCGGCAGACGGGUGAGUAACGCGUGGGAAUCUACCCAUCUCUACGGAAUAACGCAUGGAAACGUGUGCUAAUACCGUAUACGUCCUUCGGGAGAAAGAUUUAUCGGAGUUGGAGGAGCCCGCGUUGGAUUAGCUAGUUGGGGGGGUAAAGGCCUACCAAGGCGACGAUCCAUAGCUGGUCUGAGAGGAUGAUCAGCCACACUGGGACUGAGACACGGCCCAGACUCCUACGGGAGGCAGCAGUGGGGAAUAUUGGACAAUGGGCGCAAGCCUGAUCCAGCCAUGCCGCGUGAGUGAUGAAGGCCCUAGGGUUGCAAAGCUCUUUCACCGGUGAAGAUAAUGACGGUAACCGGAGAAGAAGCCCCGGCUAACUUCGUGCCAGCAGCCGCCGUAAGAC